CAUGCAGUCGAACGGCAGCAUGGAGAGCUUGCUCUCUGAUGGCGAGUGGCGAACGGGUGAGUAAUAUAUCGGAACGUGCCCAGUAAUGGGGAAUAACUAAUUGAAAGAUUAGCUAAUACCGCAUACGACCUACGGGUGAAAGCAGGGGAUCUUCGGACCUUGCGUUAUUGGAGCGGCCGAUAUCUGAUUAGCUAGUUGGUGGGGUAAAAGCCUACCAAGGCGACGAUCAGUAGCUGGUCUGAGAGGACGAUCAGCCACACUGGAACUGAGACACGGUCCAGACUCCUACGGGAGGCAGCAGUGGGGAAUUUUGGACAAUGGGGGAAACCCUGAUCCAGCCAUCCCGCGUGAGUGAAGAAGGCCUUCGGGUUGUAAAGCUCUUUCGGAAGUGAAGAAAACUUAUUUCGUAAUAUGUUAUAAGAAUGACGGUAACUUUAGAAGAAGCACCGGCUAACUACGUGCCAGCAGCCGCGGUAAUACGUAGGGUGCGAGCGUUAAUCGGAAUUACUGGGCGUAAAGCGUGCGCAGGCGGUUUUGUAAGUCAGAUGUGAAAUCCCCGAGCUUAACUUGGGAACUGCGUUUGAAACUACAAGACUAGAGUGUGUCAGAGGGGGGUAGAAUUCCACGUGUAGCAGUGAAAUGCGUAGAGAUGUGGAGGAAUAUCAAUGGCGAAGGCAGCCCCCUGGGAUAACACUGACGCUCAUGCACGAAAGCGUGGGGAGCGAACAGG
rnacentral:rRNA from 1 species